rnacentral:rRNA from 1 species
UACGUAGGUGGCAAGCGUUGUCCGGAUUUACUGGGCGUAAAGAGCGCGCAGGCGGUCGUUCAAGUCGCGUGUGAAAGCCCCCGGCUCAACUGGGGAGGGUCACGCGAUACUGAUCGACUCGAAGGCAGGAGAGGGAAGUGGAAUUCCCGGUGUAGUGGUGAAAUGCGUAGAUAUCGGGAGGAACACCAGUGGCGAAGGCGACUUCCUGGCCUGUUCUUGACGCUGAGGCACGAAAGCGUGGGGAGCAAACAGG